rnacentral:rRNA from 1 species
UACGUAGGGGGCGAGCGUUGUCCGGAGUUACUGGGCGUAAAGCGCACGCAGGCGGUCGGUUGCGUCUGGGCUGACAGCCCUCGGCUUCACUGAGGGAGGUGCCGGGAAACGAGCCGACUUGAGGGUCAGAGAGGGAGCAGGAAGUCCGGGUGGAGCGGUGAAAUGCGUAGAGAUCCGGAGGAACACCAAUGGCGAAGGCAAGCUCCUGGCUGACGCCUGACGCUCGGGUGCGAAAGCGAGGGGAGCGAACGGG